rnacentral:lncRNA from 1 species
GAUUCCUGGGCUGGGGACAGGGAGAGGAAGAAGAGAAAGAUCCGCCAUGCUGGAAAAAGGAGAACUAAGAUGCCACACCCGAGAAGCUCAGGACAGAGAACAUAGCCGCCAUAUUGGAGUAAGGGGAUCCCAGCCCAAGAUGGUCUGGGUAUAGGGCAGCAAAGAUGGAAAACAGUUAGGGACUCCAUCCAAUAAAGGCAAAUAAAGAGAGCCUGAAAGUAUAGCUUGGCACCUACGCAGCAAGCCACUCCUGUCUACAGUGCUCAUGAACCUUCCAGAAUCAUGGAGAAGACCUGCCGUGCAUGGCCCUUAUUGCAAACUGAAAGUGUUUCGAGGCCCAAGGUGGAAAGAAAAAAAAAAGAAGAAAGCAAACCUGGGAAACACAGAAUUCAUUCAGCCCCUUGUAGUCCCGCACUUUGGUCACAGAGGAAACAUCCCCUGACAGCCUGGUGUUCGAAUCUAAUGUGGUCAAAGCAAACUAUGGAGCCGGACCUAUGCAAAUCUCUACAGAAACUCGAGGUUUGCUUCUGCCACAUCUGGGUCUCCCGAGGUCGGAGAGGAUCGUCUUUAAUAUUCCUUGGUAGAUUCCAGGUAACCCCCCAAAUACUCACACCCCAACACCAGAGCAGGGGUGGGGGUGGGGUGGGCUAGCAACCUUUCCCUCAAUCUCAACUGAAGGCACUUAAUGAGAACCAAUCACUCUUUGCUGGAUCCUUGGGACCUACUUCUCAGCGCUUCAGGAAAAUCUGUGCACCCUGCUGGGCUUUCUAAAUAUCCUAGCUACUCAUUCCAAGAAUUAGCCACACGCUAUUGCUCGGUGGUAAUUUUUUUCUCGCUCUCGCUCAGAAAACCGCAAAAGGAUUUAACCAAAAGGAAGCAAAGGUUUUCUUUUUAUAAAUUCGAUUAGUCUUUUCCACUUUCUCUGCCUCCGGACAUUUCCUCUGGGAGGAAUUUUAUACCCAGACACCCCUUUGCGAGGCACUGUUGCAUGCGGAGCGCAGAGAACUUAAGCGCAACCUGGAGGAGCAUUUGCGGUUCCCGGUCCAUUCCAUUCUUAAAUGCCGGUGUGGGAAUAGCUCUGCAAGAAGAGGAAGAUGAAGUUUGCGGCGCACAGGGAGUAAGGGAUUCACUGCUCGGGUGGAACCCUGCCUCAGCUGCGCUAGACUGAAUUUCCUUCUAGACCCAGCACCUGGAAACCCUGUCUUCCCGCGGGGACACAGGUCUUGAGAACGUCGUUGCUGGUGGGCAACGGUACCUCUCCGCUCUUUAUCUUUGACCUUCACUUCUCCAGCAAUCAGCUGCUGGGCAGCGCUCACAGUUCACUCUCCAAGGCCUCGGGUUCGAAGCUGCUGCGCCAAGGUCUGAGAAGAGGUUAGGAUUUGAACUGCAGUUCGCUUAAGAAGAGUCUGACAUUCUCAGGAAAGCAGAGUCCCAAACCUGGGGAAAGGCGAAGCUACGGAAUGCUUUUCCAAUUUUGACUUUUGUUUUAAGUCAGCACCGCCACCCCAAGCCCUAAGUCUAGAAAAGAAUACUUAGAAGCCACUUCAAUCUUUCUUCCCUGUUCUUCCCACCCCCACACUGCAGGCAUCCAGACAAGAAAACACAAAUAAACCCCAGGUGGUUAAUGGUGGUGCAUCCAGGCGCUCCAUCCCCAAACACACACACACACACACACACACACACACACACACACACACACACACACACACACACACACACACACGGAGCACACCAUCCACUUGAUCCCACCCACCACCGGGGAGGGGAGGGACUGGGAACCUGAUCUCCCGGCUCCUGCCCAGUACGUUUCCCCAUCAAUAAUGUUGAUACCAUCGAAGUGCCUGCUCCCCGCCCCCGGGGCGCCGCUGCCGCCUUUUUGCCGCUUUUUGCCCGGCAUAGGAAAACGAAACCUCCUCUACUGCCCUUGUAGCCCCUGCCUGGAGCCUGGGCUGGAAAUUUCGGAAGCUGGGACACAGCCAGAGCGCUUAGGGCCCACCUCCACUUGUAGAGUGGGUGCUCAAACUGCACAGAUGGAACCUGAAAAAGAGUCAGGGGCCCACAUAAGGCCUCAAUCACAUCCCACACCAGGGUCAGACUGGGCCAUAAUUAGAAAACUUUGCGGGUAGAAGAACCAGGCCUCAGAACAGAAGGCCUUCAUGCGACCACCCCUUCCUAAAAUUGGAGCUCAAACAAAGAAGUCCGGAAACACCUUCCUUGAAAAUUUCUCUAUGGCCGCAGCCCUAGACCACCGCCCUCGGGCCAGCCAACUCACCGCGGACAAACUAGACCUCGGGAAACUGAGGCUAUACUGUGGAGGGAACAUAGACAUCCCCGCACCCCAAAGGCAGUUUGUACAAUUGCUAAGUGCCUCCACAGGGUCCGUUUCGUCUUGGUCUGAGAGGUCGCGACCCCCACGCAGCUGUCACCUCAUUUGGGGCUAUCCCCAUUCCCUAUUGGGUAUCUGUCCCUAAAUACCAGCCCCCCACCCCCCACCCCAGGAUCCUACAAGCCACAACCUCUUCGCCGUAUUUCCCAGGAGCAGCCCCCAUCCAUGGUUUGGAGGACUCGACCCUAUGGAGCGCCCUGGCCUGGAGGUGUGCAGGUUAGAAGGAACCCCAGCUGUGGCACCUCACUAUCCUUCUCUUUCCCGACCCGUUCAAAAAUAAAAAAAUAAACCCCAAU